rnacentral:rRNA from 1 species
GACGAACGCUGGCGGCGUGCUUAACACUUGCAAGUCGAACGGAAAGGCCCUGCUUUUGUGGGGUGCUCGAGUGGCGAACGGGUGAGUAACACGUGAGUAACCUGCCCUUGACUUUGGGAUAACUUCAGGAAACUGGGGCUAAUACCGGAUAGGAGCUCCUGCUGCAUGGUGGGGGUUGGAAAGUUUCGGCGGUUGGGGAUGGACUCGCGGCUUAUCAGCUUGUUGGUGGGGUAGUGGCUUACCAAGGCCUUGACGGGUAGCCGGCCUGAGAGGGUGACCGGCCACAUUGGGACUGAGAUACGGCCCAGACUCCUACGGGAGGCAGCAGUGGGGAAUAUUGCACAAUGGGCGGAAGCCUGAUGCAGCAACGCCGCGUGCGGGAUGACGGCCUUCGGGUUGUAAACCGCUUUCGCCUGUGACGAAGCGUGAGUGACGGUAAUGGGUAAAGAAGCACCGGCUAACUACGUG